rnacentral:lncRNA from 1 species
CAACUCUUCCAUGCGGCUUAGAGCGUCCGCAACGACAUUGGCUUUCCCCGGCUUGUACUCGAGCCGAUAAUCGAAUUCCGCAAGGAAAUCUUGCCACCUUGCUUGCUUCGGACUCAACUUCUUUUGUGUUUGAAAGUAGCUUGUCACUACGUUAUCCGUCAGGAUCGUGAAGUGUGAGCCAAGCAAGUAAUGUCGCCACACUCUUAGGCAAUGGAUGAUGGCGGUCAUCUCCUUUUCUUGCACCGUGUAGCGUCGUUCCGUAUCAUUUAGCUUUCGACUCUCGAAUGCUAUAGGGUGGCCGUCUUGCAUGAGGACUCCUCCUAUGGCAAAAUCCGAGGCAUCUGUUUAGACUUCGAAGCGACUCUCGAAUGCUAUAGGGUGGACGUCUUGCAUGAGGACUCCUCCUAUGGCGAAAUCCGAGGCAUCUGUUUAGACUUCGAAGGGCUUCGUGUGGUCCGGAAGUGCAAGGAUGGGUUCCUCCGAAAUUGCCUUCUUUAGUUCUUCAAAUGAGCGUCGGCAGUUUUCGGACCAAUGCCACGCUCUAUUUUUCUUAAGCAUAUCUGUCAAGGGUGUCGGCUUAGCCGAAUAGCCCUUGAUGAAGCGGUGGUAGUAAUUCACCAUCCCAAGGAAUGAGCGAAGCUCGGGCACUUUUGAGGGAGGUUCCCAUUCAAGAAUGGCCUUUACUUUCGUGUUCUCCAUCAUAAUCUU